rnacentral:rRNA from 1 species
UAGGGAAUCUUCNGCAAUGGACGGAAGUCUGACCGAGCAACGCCGCGUGAGUGAAGAAGGUUUUCGGAUCGUAAAGCUCUGUUGUAAGAGAAGAACGAGUGUGAGAGUGGAAAGUUCACACUGUGACGGUAUCUUACCAGAAAGGGACGGCUAACUACGUGCCAGCAGCCGCGGUAAUACGUAGGUCCCGAGCGUUGUCCGGAUUUAUUGGGCGUAAAGCGAGCGCAGGCGGUUAGAUAAGUCUGAAGUUAAAGGCUGUGGCUUAACCAUAGUACGCUUUGGAAACUGUUUAACUUGAGUGCAAGAGGGGAGAGUGGAAUUCCAUGUGUAGCGGUGAAAUGCGUAGAUAUAUGGAGGAACACCGGUGGCGAAAGCGGCUCUCUGGCUUGUAACUGACGCUGAGGCUCGAAAGCGUGGGGAGCAAACAGGAUUAGAUACCCUGGUAGUCCACGCCGUAAACGAUGAGUGCUAGGUGUUAGACCCUUUCCGGGGUUUAGUGNCGUAGCUAACGCAUUAAGCACUCCGCCUGGGGAGUACNACCGCAAGGNU